rnacentral:rRNA from 1 species
GAUGAACGCUGGCGGCGUGCCUAAUACAUGCAAGUCGAACGAAUCUUCUUCGGAAGAUGAGUGGCGAACGGGUGAGUAAUACAUAGGUAACCUACCCCUGUGCGGGGGAUAACAGGAGGAAACUCCUGCUAAUACCGCAUAGCCAUGAGCACCGCAUGGAGCUCAUGCCAAAUAUCCUUUCGGGGAUAGCGCAGGGAUGGACCUAUGGCGCAUUAGCUGGUUGGCGGGGCAACGGCCCACCAAGGCAACGAUGCGUAGCCGGCCUGAGAGGGCGGACGGCCACAUUGGGACUGAGACACGGCCCAGACUCCUACGGGAGGCAGCAGUAGGAAUUUUCGGCAAUGGGGGAAACCCUGACCGAGCAACGCCGCGUGAGCGAAGAAGGCCUUCGGGUCGUAAAGCUCUGUUGUAAAGGAAGAACGGCGCAUACAGGAAAUGGUAUGCGAGUGACGGUACUUUACCAGAAAGCCACGGCUAACUACGUGCCAGCCGCCGCAGUAA